AACGGAGGGGGGCGAGUGUUACUCAUCAUAACUGGGCGUAAAGGGCAAGUAGGCGGUUUAUUAUGUUUAAAUAAAAGUCUAAAGAACAACUUUAUAUAAUUAUUUUUUAUACUGAUAAACUAGAGUAUAAUAGAAGUGUGUUGCACUUCCAGUGGAGAGGUAAAAAUACGUAAAUAUUGUAAAGACAUUCAAUAGGUGAAAAACGACUAACUAUAUUAUUACUGACGCUGAGAGGCAAAAGCAUGGGGAUCAAACAGG
rnacentral:rRNA from 1 species